UGGGGAAUCUUCCGCAAUGGACGAAAGUCUGACGGAGCAACGCCGCGUGGGUGACGAAGGUUUUCGGAUCGUAAAACCCUGUCAAGAAGGAAGAAAAAAGACGGUACUUCUGAAGGAAGCCCCGGCUAACUACGUGCCAGCAGCCGCGGUAAUACGUAGGGGGCAAGCGUUGCCCGGAAUUACUGGGCGUAAGGGCGCGUAGGCGGUGUGUCAAGUCAGGCGUGAAAGCCCCGGGCUCAACCUGGGAACCGCGCUUGAGACUGGCACGCUAGAGUUCGGGAGAGGAUGGUGGAAUUCCCAGUGUAGAGGUGAAAUGCUUAGAUAUCACGAAGAACUCCAAUUGCGAAGGCAGCUUGCUGGACUGUAACUGACGCUGAUGCUCGAAAGUGUGGGUAUCAAACA
rnacentral:rRNA from 1 species